rnacentral:lncRNA from 1 species
UGAGUCAUGAGGAGGCUGAAUAAUUGCAUACUCUACACUUAUCCUCAUUCUGCUUUUAAUUUAUGUAAGUGUUUACUGACCUUGCUUUAAGCUUCCUGAAACCAGACGGCACAACUUAGAGGGAAGAAAUCUCAGAAUGAAUAUAGGGCUCUUCUUGUAGUCUGGCCAAUGGAUCUGCUGGGUAAGUGGCAGAAUCCCUCACUUACUUAGUAGAUAAAGCUCUCCAUGAGGACAUACUGAAAGCCCCUAGCUAGUCCCUAGAGGAGAAUCUCUCAGCUGAUGACACCCAGGAAUCAUCUCACCAAUGAGACCCUUUAAGACUUAGAAGCUCCUUACCAGCGGAACAUCCUGCAGGUGUGACCCAGCAGGAGGGAACUCACUCUACUGAGAAGCAUUUUCAUCCUAGAUUCUAUCCAGUUACUUAUGAAGACUGAAAUCCAGAUAAUAAGACUUGGUGUGCCCCAGCAGUAAAGCCCUGCAGUGACGUGCUCAAGGCAAAAGUGAACGGCACUGAGUAAGCUGAGAGGUCUCUGGCCUCCACUGCACUGGAGAGGAUCCCGGAGGAUGGGUGAGAGAGGAUCUAUGUAGAGGCAUCAGGAAUCACUGACCUCUCACACGCGUUUUAGAGGACGUCCACCCACUGCAUGUAGAUGCAUUAACAACUUUAUUUUGGUGAUAGAGAAGAUUAGAUGGUCAGAAAAGUUGAAGAAACUGGUGUUUGAGGAGGUCAAAGGACUGGGCCACUGUCUGAGAGAAGUGGGAGAGAUUCCCUUCACCUUAUGGCUAUAACGUCACCUACAGCGUGUCGUUCUCUGCAUUGGUGAGCCAAACAGGAAAGAGAACGUGGAAAGGACAUGACUGCUUCUUAGAAGCCUCAGCCUGGAAGUGACAAACAUCACUCUCACGUCCACUCUAUUGAGCAAAAAGAUCAUUCAUGCUGUAGAGCCAUCUGUUAUCCAG